rnacentral:misc_RNA from 1 species
GAGGACAAUAGAAGAGAAUCCUCAUCUUGAACACGAGCACCUUUCGGUUUCAAACAAAACAACACCAUCUGAUAUACAAGUUACUAGCCCCGCUAUGCUACGUGAUAAAACACGAGUUGAGGAACAGCCCAAGCAUGAGCAAGGUGAACAACAACCAAAGCGCGAUCACCAUAAAAGAAAUGAAGAUGCUGUUGCUGCUGCAAAAGAGCGCUUUUUGGCUCGAAAAAGAGCAAAGGAGGUGUGAAAUACUUGUUGAGCUAGAUUAAAC